UACGGGGGGGGCAAGCGUUGUUCGGAAUCACUGGGCGUAAAGGGCGUGUAGGCGGUUGGUUAAGUCUGGCGUGAAAGCUCUCGGCUAAACCGGGAGAGGUCGUUGGAUACUGGCCGACUAGAGGACGGUAGAGGCGUGUGGAAUUCCGGGUGUAGUGGUGAAAUGCGUAGAGAUCCGGAGGAACACCAGUGGCGAAGGCGACACGCUGGGCCGUACCUGACGCUAAAGCGCGACAGCAUGGGGAGCAAACGGG
rnacentral:rRNA from 1 species